GGGGGGCUGCUGUCAGGUGCUCUCAAAGCUGCCUCUUCUGCAGGCUGAGCCAGUCCUCAUCCCUCAGUUUCUUCUCACAGGGAUUCAUCUGAAGAAGAUUAUGACAACUAUGGAAAUGCAACCAUGCAGUUAGAGACACUAUGAAUGCUUAUACUGGAAGAUUUAUACUGCGUGCUCAGUCUUAUAGCUGAAGCAUCUGAGAUCUUGUAAAGCAGUGAUCUUCUCUGAAAAGCCAGCUGCUCAGAAGCCAGCAUUUCUUCCAGCUGAUGAACCUGAACUUUUCUGCCUUUCCUAUUCUCUGUGCCAUAUAUAUUCUCCCUGAGUAUUUAAAUAAUGCUCAUUUUCAAGCCCUCCUACUCAUCCCCCCUGCUAUUGUUUCUUGUGGGAAACAUUUCUCCACUAGCCAUUGCCCUUUUCAGAAGCAUGUCCUUGAAAGAAAACAGUAGCUGUGGCAGUUAGAUGGGGCAGACCUGAAGCAAUGACAUUGAACACCCAGACUUCUGGAGUUGCUCCAGGAAUGAUUUUAAUUUGAGUUUGGCUGCUUAAAUCAGUGUAUUGGAACUAUCCAAAAUACAGGGAUACGAAAGUUUUAGAAAAUACAUGUGUUUUAUGCAUCUCUUCCAGUAAAAUGGUGUUUGGGUCUGAAGUGGAAACCAAAUAAACCUUCAAACUUAGUUUCCAGGGAUUGCUAAGAAACGAUAAUCCUGGAGUCCCACAGAUAUACAUACUUAACUACUACCCUGAAACUGUGUCUGUAAUAGCACACUUCUGUCUGAUACUUUAAGGGAGCUUUUAAUGCUUCUUUGCUUGCACUGUCUUUAUCAAAUCCUUUCAAAUGCUACAUAAACUUCUGCCUCUCUGUAGUCUUAAAGUAUUUUAGGGUAUCAGGCUGCAUUACUUUUAUCAUAAAAAAUGAUCUUAUUCAUGCAGACAGCCUAGUUUCAGAGCAGGAAUGCCACGUACACUGUAACAAUAUGGAAAUUCUGUUCUACAGUUAUUGAACAUUCUUGUGCCAGUACUAGCUCCAACCCAUUUAGUCACAAAUUAUCUUUUUCUAAUUUCUUUUAUUUUGUUAAAAGCAUAAAAUACUUUGGUUUCUGAAGUAGCUCCUGUUUUCCAAUUAAAAGUGGCACUUGCUAUCCCACAAGU